rnacentral:rRNA from 1 species
UACGAAGGGGGCUAGCGUUGCUCGGAAUGACUGGGCGUAAAGGGAGCGUAGGCGGGUCGUCAAGUUGGGGGUGAAAGCCCAGGGCUCAACCUUGGAAUUGCCUUCAAAACUGACGAUCUAGAGUAUGGAAGAGGUAAGUGGAACUCCGAGUGUAGAGGUGAAAUUCGUAGAUAUUCGGAAGAACACCAGUGGCGAAGGCGACUUACUGGUCCAUGACUGACGCUGAGGCUCGAAAGCGUGGGGAGCAAACAGG